UGUAUUUUGGACAGUAUAUAAAGUAGGCCUGUCAAACUGGCGGCAUGCAGGCUGCAUACGUCAUGCACAGGCCAAGCCUACCCCAGCUCCGCAAAGGC